rnacentral:rRNA from 1 species
UUUAAGCAUAUCAAUAAGCGGAGGAAAAGAAACCAACAGGGAUUGCCCUAGUAACGGCGAGUGAAGCGGCAACAGCUCAAAUUUGAAAUCUGGCCCUCGGGUCCGAGUUGUAAUUUGUAGAGGAUGCUUUUGGUGCGGUGCCUUCCGAGUUCCUUGGAACAGGACGCCUUAGAGGGUGAGAGCCCCGUACGGUUGGACACCAAGCCUCUGUAAAGCUCCUUCGACGAGUCGAGUAGUUUGGGAAUGCUGCUCUAAAUGGGAGGUAAAUUUCUUCUAAAGCUAAAUACCGGCCAGAGACCGAUAGCGCACAAGUAGAGUGAUCGAAAGAUGAAAAGUACUUUGAAAAGAGGGUUAAAUAGCACGUGAAAUUGUUGAAAGGGAAGCGUUUAUGACCAGACCUUCGUCGGGCGGAUCAUCCGGUGUUCUUCACCGGUGCACUUCGCCCGGCUUAGGCCAGCAUCGGUUUUCGCAGGGGGAUAAAGGUCCCGGGAACGUAGCUCCCUCCGGGGAGUGUUAUAGCCCGAGACGUAAUACCCUUGCGGGGACCGAGGUUCGCGCUCCGGCAAGGAUGCUGGCGUAAUGGUCAUCAACGACCCGUCUUGAAACC